UUUGAUGGAUAAAAUUUUGGCCGUCGGAUUGUGCAAAAGAGUCCUUCUUUCAACCGGCAAUGAAUGUGGAUCGUUGGAUCUGAAUCAAAUUGAAACUUACCCAUUCGAUCAUGUAAAAUAGCUUUUGUCCGCCUGUGAACCAUGCCUGUGGAUCGUGAACUAUUUCUGUGGACCGCACCCUGAUUUCUAUGGAUCGAUUGGCUGGUCCAUCGUGCACUAGAGGC
rnacentral:lncRNA from 1 species